rnacentral:rRNA from 1 species
CCUACGGGAGGCAGCAGUGGGGAAUAUUGGGCAAUGGGCGCAAGCCUGACCCAGCAACGCCGCGUGAAGGAAGAAGGCCUUCGGGUUGUAAACUUCUUUUCUCAGGGACGAAGCAAGUGACGGUACCUGAGGAAUAAGUCACGGCUAACUACGUGCCAGCCGCCGCGGGAAUACGUAGGUGGCAAGCGUUAUCCGGAUUUACUGGGUGUAAAGGGCGUGUAGGCGGGACUGCAAGUAUGAUGUGAAAACCAUGGGCUCAACCUAUGGCCUGCAUUUGAUACUGUAGUUCUUGAGUGCUGGAGAGGCAGACGGAAGUCCAGGUGUAGCGGUGAAAUGCGUAGAUAUUAGGAGGAACACCAGUGGCGAAGGCGGUCUGCUGGACAGCAACUGACGCUGAGGCGCGAAAGCGUGGGGAGCAAACAGGAUUAGAUACCCUUGUAGUC